rnacentral:misc_RNA from 1 species
AACGCACAUUGCGCCCCUUGGUAUCCCGAGGGGCAUGCCCGUUCGAGCGUCAUUAUAACCCCUCAAGCCUAGCUUGGUGUUGGGGCCUGCUGUUACCGGCAGCCCUUAAAAUCAGUGGCGGUGCCAUCUGGCUCUAAGCGUAGUAAUACUUCUCGCUACAGGGUCCUGGUGGAUGCUUGCCAUCAACCCCUAAUUUUCUAUGGUUGACCUCGGAUCGGGUAGGGAUACCCGCUGAACUUAA